rnacentral:rRNA from 1 species
AGUAGCUUGCUACUUUUGCCGGCGAGUGGCGAACGGGUGAGUAAUGUAUCGGAACGUGCCCAGUAGCGGGGGAUAACUACGCGAAAGCGUGGCUAAUACCGCAUACGCCCUACGGGGGAAAGGGGGGGAUCUUAGGACCUCUCACUAUUGGAGCGGCCGAUAUCGGAUUAGCUAGUUGGUGGGGUAAAGGCCUACCAAGGCGACGAUCCGUAGCUGGUUUGAGAGGACGACCAGCCACACUGGGACUGAGACACGGCCCAGACUCCUACGGGAGGCAGCAGUGGGGAAUUUUGGACAAUGGGGGAAACCCUGAUCCAGCCAUCCCGCGUGUGCGAUGAAGGCCUUCGGGUUGUAAAGCACUUUUGUCAGGGAAGAAAAGGUUUCGGAUAAUACCUGGAACUGAUGACGGUACCUGAAGAAUAAGCACCGGCUAACUACGUGCCAGCAGCCGCGGUAAUACGUAGGGUGCAAGCGUUAAUCGGAAUUACUGGGCGUAAAGCGUGCGCAGGCGGUUCGGAAAGAAAGAUGUGAAAUCCCAGGGCUCAACCUUGGAACUGCAUUUUUAACUCCCGAACUAGAGUAUGUCAGAGGGGGGUGGAAUUCCACGUGUAGCAGUGAAAUGCGUAGAUAUGUGGAGGAACACCGAUGGCGAAGGCAGCCCCCUGGGAUAA